UCGCGGCCUAUCAGCUUGUUGGUGGGGUAACGGCCUACCAAGGCAUUGACGGGUAGCUGGCGUGUGAGCGUGGCCAGCCACACUGGGACUGAGACACGGCCCAGACUCCUUCGGGAGGCAGCAGUGGGGAAUAUUGCGCAAUGGGCGAAAGCCUGACGCCGCGACGCCGCGUGGGGGAGGAAGGCGCCAGGGUUGUAAAU
rnacentral:rRNA from 1 species